rnacentral:rRNA from 1 species
AUUGAACGCUGGCGGCAUGCCUUACACAUGCAAGUCGAACGGCAGCACGGACUUCGGUCUGGGUGGCGAGUGGCGAACGGGUGAGUAAUGUAUCGGAACGUACCUUUCAGUGGGGGAUAACGUAGCGAAAGUUACGCUAAUACCGCAUAUUCUGUGAGCAGGAAAGCAGGGGAUCGCAAGACCUUGCGCUGAUUGAGCGGCCGAUAUCAGAUUAGCUAGUUGGUGAGGUAAAGGCUCACCAAGGCGACGAUCUGUAGCGGGUCUGAGAGGAUGAUCCGCCACACUGGAACUGAGACACGGUCCAGACUCCUACGGGAGGCAGCAGUGGGGAAUUUUGGACAAUGGGGGCAACCCUGAUCCAGCCAUGCCGCGUGAGUGAAGAAGGCCUUCGGGUUGUAAAGCUCUUUCGGCCGGGAAGAAAUCGCAUGGGCUAAUACCCUGUGCGGAUGACGGUACCGGCAUAAGAAGCACCGGCUAACUACGUG